rnacentral:rRNA from 1 species
GAUGAACGCUGGCGGCGUGCCUAAUACAUGCAAGUCGAGCGAACAGACGAGGAGCUUGCUCCUCUGAUGUUAGCGGCGGACGGGUGAGUAACACGUGGAUAACCUACCUAUAAGACUGGGAUAACUUCGGGAAACCGGAGCUAAUACCGGAUAACAUGUUGAACCGCAUGGUUCAACAGUGAAAGACGGUCUUGCUGUCACUUAUAGAUGGAUCCGCGCCGCAUUAGCUAGUUGGUAAGGUAACGGCUUACCAAGGCAACGAUGCGUAGCCGACCUGAGAGAGUGAUCGGCCACACUGGAACUGGGACACGGACCAGACUCCUACGGGAGGCAGCAGUAUGGAAUCUUCCGCAAUGGGCGGAAGCCUGACGGAGCAACGCCGCGUGAGUGAAAGAGGUCUUCGGAUCGUAAAACUCUGUUAUUAGGGAAGAACAAAUGUGUAAGUAACUAUGCACGUCUUGACGGUACCUAAUCAGAAAGCCACGGCUAACUACGUG